CAGCAGCCGCGGUAAUACGUAGGGUCCGAGCGUUGUCCGGAAUUACUGGGCGUAAAGAGCUCGUAGGUGGUUUGUCGCGUUGUUCGUGAAAACUCACAGCUUAACUGUGGGCGUGCGGGCGAUACGGGCAGACUAGAGUACUGCAGGGGAGACUGGAAUUCCUGGUGUAGCGGUGGAAUGCGCAGAUAUCAGGAGGAACACCGGUGGCGAAGGCGGGUCUCUGGGCAGUAACUGACGCUGAGGAGCGAAAGCGUGGGGAGCGAACAGGAUUAGAUACCCUGGUAGUCCACGCCGUAAACGGUGGGUACUAGGUGUGGGUUUCCUUCCUUGGGAUCCGUGCCGUAGCUAACGCAUUAAGUACCCCGCCUGGGGAGUACGGCCGCAAGGCUAAAACUCAAAGGAAUUGACGGGGGCCCGCACAAGCGGCGGAGCAUGUGGAUUAAUUCGAUGCAACGCGAAGAACCUUACCUGGGUUUGACAUGCACAGGACGCCAGUAGAGAUAUUGGUUCCCUUGUGGCCUGUGUGCAGGUG
rnacentral:rRNA from 1 species